GCGACUGCCGAUGGAAUCCCUGGCGGGGCACUGGAGGGACUGCAAAGUCACGUCAGCGUGCAACAAUAUAACCCCUGGGGCAGCAGCAAUUACGGAAUUCAUCAGACUCAUGCCAACAAAAUUGGAAACCAGGGCGGUGGAUACGGCGGAUACGGAGGAUACAGCACGUUCACUGGAGGGAAGGCCAAGGUCUACGCUCAGGCUCAGGGAAUCGGUGGCCAUGACGGAUACGGUUCUGGCGGAUAUGGACGAAAGGGAUAUGGACACGGUGGAUCUGGUGGAUAUGAGCACGGUGGAUACGACGCUGGACACGGUGGAUACGGCCGAUACGCCUACGAAUAUAGUGCUGAUGUCGGACAGGACGGUUAUGCCGGGUAUGGUCGUUAAGCAAAUACUUCCUCUGUCUGUAUGGUGAUGAAUGUUGCAUAGAAAUGUGCUGCAUGUUCCAUCAUCUUAAAGUCGGUCUUAUCGAUGAGAUCAGGUUUGUCAAUCAAAUUAAUGACCAUCGAUAGCAUCCAUACAUUGUUUUUCAAUCUCUUUUUUAAGCUCUGUCGUACCUGGGGCAUU